rnacentral:misc_RNA from 1 species
GUUCUUAAUGUCUUGCCACCUUCUGAUCUCGACGUAGUGGAACAAGAUGAACUCGAUCACAAACAGGGUGGAUGAUGAUGCAAAGUACUCUGAUUUUCCAGCAUCGUACCAUUUGGGCACAUUAAGUAUCCCAAUGCUAGUGAAAACUUCAGGCAACAGCAUCCCUGCAACACCCAACAUAGCCCAACGACCAUUCACCAGUUCAGCCUGGAUGAACCAUUUCAAGUUCUCUGGGUCCUCCGCAAGUCCCAAUGGAUCAAAACCAUUGUCUCCUGGGAGACUGCCAUCAAGAUAAUCAGGAGAGGCUAAGCCAGGAAGCCAUUGACCUUUCUUAGCUUCAACCUUGAAUGAG